rnacentral:rRNA from 1 species
AUACGUAGGGUGCGAGCGUUGUCCGGAAUUAUUGGGCGUAAAGAGCUCGUAGGCGGCUUGUCGCGUCGGAUGUGAAAGCCCGGGGCUUAACCCCGGGUCUGCAUUCGAUACGGGCAGGCUAGAGUUCGGCAGGGGAGAUUGGAAUUCCGGGUGUAGCGGUGAAAUGCGCAGAUUUAUGGAGGAACACCGUGGGCGAAGGCGGAGUUCUGGGCCGAUACUGACGCUGAGGAGCGAAAGCGUGGGGAGCGAACAGGAUUAGAUCCCCUGGUAGUCCACGCCGUAAACGUUGGGCACUAGGUGUGGGCGGCAUUCCACGUCGUCCGUGCCGCAGCUAACGCAUUAAGUGCCCCGCCUGGGGAGUACGGCCGCAAGGCUAAAACUCAAAUGAAUUGACGGGG